GAACGCUAGCUACAGGCUUAACACAUGCAAGUCGAGGGGCAUCAGGAAGAAAGCUUGCUUUCUUUGCUGGCGACCGGCGCACGGGUGAGUAACACGUAUCCAACCUGCCCUUUACUCGGGGAUAGCCUUUCGAAAGAAAGAUUAAUACCCGAUAGCAUAAUGAUUCCGCAUGGUUUCAUUAUUAAAGGAUUCCGGUAAAGGAUGGGGAUGCGUUCCAUUAGGUUGUUGGUGAGGUAACGGCCCACCAAGCCUUCGAUGGAUAGGGGUUCUGAGAGGAAGGUCCCCCACAUUGGAACUGAGACACGGUCCAAACUCCUACGGGAGGCAGCAGUGAGGAAUAUUGGUCAAUGGGCGCUAGCCUGAACCAGCCAAGUAGCGUGAAGGAUGAAGGCUCUAUGGGUCGUAAACUUCUUUUAUAUAAGAAUAAAGUGCAGUAUGUAUACUGUUUUGUAUGUAUUAUAUGAAUAAGGAUCGGCUAACUCCGUGCCAGCAGCCGCGGUAAUACGGAGGAUCCGAGCGUUAUCCGGAUUUAUUGGGUUUAAAGGGAGCGUAGGUGGACUGGUAAGUCAGUUGUGAAAGUUUGCGGCUCAACCGUAAAAUUGCAGUUGAUACUGUCAGUCUUGAGUACAGUAGAGGUGGGCGGAAUUCGUGGUGUAGCGGUGAAAUGCUUAGAUAUCACGAAGAACUCCGAUUGCGAAGGCAGCUCACUGGACUGCAACUGACACUGAUGCUCGAAAGUGUGGGUAUCAAACAGGAUUAGAUACCCUGGUAGUCCACACAGUAAACGAUGAAUACUCGCUGUUUGCGAUAUACAGUAAGCGGCCAAGCGAAAGCAUUAAGUAUUCCACCUGGGGAGUACGCCGGCAACGGUGAAACUCAAAGGAAUUGACGGGGGCCCGCACAAGCGGAGGAACAUGUGGUUUAAUUCGAUGAUACGCGAGGAACCUUACCCGGGCUUAAAUUGCAGUGGAAUGAUGUGGAAACAUGUCAGUGAGCAAUCACCGCUGUGAAGGUGCUGCAUGGUUGUCGUCAGCUCGUGCCGUGAGGUGUCGGCUUAAGUGCCAUAACGAGCGCAACCCUUAUCUUCAGUUACUAACAGGUCAUGCUGAGGACUCUGGAGAGACUGCCGUCGUAAGAUGUGAGGAAGGUGGGGAUGACGUCAAAUCAGCACGGCCCUUACGUCCGGGGCUACACACGUGUUACAAUGGGGGGUACAGAAGGCAGCUAGCGGGUGACCGUAUGCUAAUCCCAAAAGCCUCUCUCAGUUCGGAUCGAAGUCUGCAACCCGACUUCGUGAAGCUGGAUUCGCUAGUAAUCGCGCAUCAGCCACGGCGCGGUGAAUACGUUCCCGGGCCUUGUACACACCGCCCGUCAAGCCAUGGGAGCCGGGGGUACCUGAAGUACGUAACCGCAAGGAUCGUCCUAGGGUAAAACUGGUGACUGGGGCU
rnacentral:rRNA from 1 species